UGCCCCAUGGCUGAGUUGGUUACAGCGUCCGACUGUUACUGCGCGAUUCUGCGAGUGUGUGUACACAUACUUGUCGGGUCGCUCUGCUCAUCGGAAGGUCGUGAGUUCGAGCCUCACUGGGGCAG